GUAGUCUCGCGAGAUCACGUCAAGCGCGCCACUUCAAAUUUUUUUGAUAUUUGAUUUACAGGUUUAACCGUUAUUUACCGGUGCAGGUCGUCAUCUCACUGGGAGAUCUGCAGUUACAGGACUGCCUGGGGUAACGUCUGUGCAUCAAUACAACCACUAAUAGGCCAGCCAGGGCCGGUAGGGAAUCCAGACGGGCCGCCGUGUAGGCGAUUCCACGGGUCAUGAUGGUUAGGGGUGGACAAUCCCCCGACCACGCUGGCUGCUGCUGGAGUAGCUGUGUGGAGCUCCUUCCUCCGGCUCUGAGAGAGGCCCUCCGCCGUUCUCCUCCGGUCCUCUCUUCCCCUUGUUCCUCCUUCCCAGCAUGUCAGUGCGCUGACUGGGCUUCAGAGAGCAGUCCAUCUGAUAAGAAAGUGGAAAUGAACGCUGUUUGAAGAGUGACAGCUGAUGCCUGGGAGUGAAAACCUGAAAUCUUGACGUUUACCUCCAAU